GGGGGGGGGGGGGGGGGGGGGGGGCGGGGGCGGGGCGAGCGGAGGGGCGCGGCUUUUGUGGGGGGCUCGGGUGGCGAGCGGGUGGGUAACACGUGAGUCCCCUGCCCUUGACUUUGGGUUAACUUCAGGCACCUGGGGCUAAUACCGGAUCUGAGCUCCUGCUGCUUGGUUGGGGGUGUACCGUUUCGGCGGUUGGGGAUGGACUCGCGGCUUAUCAGCUUUUUGGUGGGGUAGUGUCUUACCACGGCUCUGACGGUUAGCCGGGCUGAGAGGGUGACCGGCAACAUUGGGAAUGAGAUACGGCCCAGACUCCUACGGGAGGAAGCAGUGGGGAAUAUUGCAGAAAGGGCGGAAGACUGAGGCAGCAACGCCGCGUGCGGGAUGACGGCCUUCGGGUUGUAAACCGCUGUCGACUGUGACGAAGCGUGAGUGACGGUAAUGGGUAAAGAAGCACCGGCUAACUACGUG
rnacentral:rRNA from 1 species